rnacentral:rRNA from 1 species
UACGGGGGGGGCAAGCGUUGUUCGGAAUUACUGGGCGUAAAGGGCGCGUAGGCGGGAUGGCAAGUCGGUCGUGAAAUCCUUCGGCUCAACCGAAGAACGUCGAUCGAUACUGCUGUUCUUGAGGGUUGCAGAGGAGACUGGAAUUCCCGGUGUAGCGGUGAAAUGUGUAGAGAUCGGGAGGAACACCGGUGGCGAAGGCGGGUCUCUGGGCAAUUCCUGACGCUGAGGAGCGAAAGUGUGGGGAGCGAACAGG